rnacentral:rRNA from 1 species
CCCUUAGAUGUUCUGGGCCGCACGCGCGCUACACUGACGAAUGCAACGAGCUUAUAACUUUGGCCGAAAGGUCUGGGUAAUCUCCAAAUUUCGUCGUGAUGGGGAUAGAUUAUUGCAAUUAUUAAUCUUCAACGAGGAAUGCCUAGUAAGCGCAAGUCAUCAGCUUGCGUUGAUUACGUCCCUGCCCUUUGUACACACCGCCCGUCGCUCCUACCGAUUGAAUGGUCCGGUGAAGCGUUCGGACCGUGGCCUUUGGACGGUUCGCCGUCUGUUGGCUGCGGGAAGUUCGUUAAACCUUAUCAUUUAGAGGAAGGAGAANUCGUAACA